AGAGUUUGAUCCUGGCUCAGAUUGAACGCUGGCGGCAUGCUUUACACAUGCAAGUCGAACGGUAACAGGUCUUCGGAUGCUGACGAGUGGCGAACGGGUGAGUAAUGUAUCGGAACGUGCCCAGUAGUGGGGGAUAACUACUCGAAAGAGUGGCUAAUACCGCAUGAGAACUGAGGUUGAAAGCGGGGGACCUUCGGGCCUCGCGCUACUGGAGCGGCCGAUAUCAGAUUAGGUAGUUGGUGGGGUAAAGGCCUACCAAGCCGACGAUCUGUAGCUGGUCUGAGAGGACGACCAGCCACACUGGGACUGAGACACGGCCCAGACUCCUACGGGAGGCAGCAGUG
rnacentral:rRNA from 1 species